CCUGUGUGUCCUGCAGCAAAGUAUUUAAUCUCACUGUGCUUCUGUUUUGUCACUUAUUAAAUGCAGACAAUAAUACCGACCUCAUUGGACUGCUGCGAGGUGUUGAAGUCCCAGCAUUUCAGACCCAGCUAGGCUCACUGGGCUCAGGCCCUCCCUACAACCCUGGAGAAACCUGGAGUUGGGAGAAGUACACCCACGUGAAAAGGAACCGUGAUCCUACAGAAGGUCCAAGAAACAGCAAUCAUAAGAUUUUCAAUCCACAUUCAAGUCCAAUAUCCACAUCUAGAGAACAGGCCUCAACACCUGGACAGAUGAUUUUGUGUCCUGUUUCCGAAGGCCUCCAUUCCACGGUGAUAAAGGGACUCCUUUGUGAUUGUUUUAAUCAAGAAUGGUAGCUGUUUGUCAUAUGCCUUUUCAACACUCAUGGAGUAUGAUUUUUCUUAAAUCUAUGAUCACGAGGAACUGUGUAUUUAUGAAUUUCCUGAAUUAUAUUAAUAAA